rnacentral:rRNA from 1 species
CAAUAGCGUAUACUAAUGUUGUUGCAGUUAAAAAGCUCGUAGUUGAACUUCUGGUAGGAGUGUCCCGGCCUUUUUGUUUUUACAAAUUGUAUGCUGUGUGACAUCUCUGGCCAUCCUUCUUCUUUGUUUAAAGAAGAUCUUUCACUGUAAAAAAAUUAGGGUGUUCAAAGCAAAAGUUUCUUUGGAAUAUAUUAGUAUGGGAUGAUAAGAUAGGCUCUAGAUGCUAUUUUGUUGGUUUGCACAUUUAGAGAAUGAUUAACAGGGACAGUUGGGGGUAUUCGUAUUUACAUGUCAGAGGUGAAAUUCUUGGAUUUUGGAAAGACGAACUACUGCGAAAGCAUUUACCAAGGAUGCUUUCAUUAA